CAGGACCCUCAGCUGCAGGUCUGUCGGAGUACCCAGCCAUGUGAGGUGUCAGUGUGCCCCUGCUGGGGGGUGCCUCCCAGUUAGGCUGCUCGGGGGUCAGGGGUCAGGGACCCACUUGAAGAGGCAGUCUGCCCGUUCUCAGAUCUCCCGCUGGGUGCUGGGAGAACCACUGCUCUCUUCAAAGUUGUCAGACAGGGACAUUUAAGUCUGCAGAGGUUACUGCUGUCUUUUUGUUUGUCUGUGCCCUGCCCCAUAGGUGGAGCCUACAGAGGCAGGCAGGCCUCCUUGAGCUGUGGUGGGCUCCACCCAGUUCGAGCUUCCCAGCUGCUUUGUUUACCUAAGCAAGCCUGGGCAAUGGCGGGCGCCCCUCCCCCAGCCUCACUGCCGCCUUGGAGUUUGAUCUCAGACUGUUGUGCUAGCCAUCAGCGAGACUCCACGGGCGUAGGACCCUCCGAGCCAGGUGCAGGAUAUAAUCUCCUGGUGUGCCGUUUUUUAAGCCCGUCGGAAAAGCGCAGUAUUCGGGUGGGAGUGACCCAAUUUUCCAGGUGCCGUCUGUCACCCCUUUCUUUGACUAGGAAAGGGAACUUCCUGACCCCGUGUACUUCCCGAGUGAGGCAAUGCCUCGCCCUGCUUCGGCUCGUGCACGGUGUGCACACCCACUGACCUGCGCCCACUGUCUGGCACUCCCUAGUGAGAUGAACCCGGUACCUCAGAUGGAAAUGCAGAAAUCACCCAUCUUCUGUGUCGCUCACGCUGGGAGCUGUAGACCGGAGCUGUUCCUAUUCGGCCAUCUUGGCUCCUCUCUCCUUUUUUUUUUUUUUUUGAGACGGAGUCUUGCUCUGUCGCCCAGGCUGGAGUGCAGUGGCACGAUCUCGGCUCACUGCAAGCUCCACCUCCCAGGUUCACGCCAUUCUCCUGCCUCAGCCUCCCAAGUAGCUGGGACCACAGGUGCCUGCCAGCAUGCCAGGCUAAUUUUUUGUAUUUUUAGUACAGAUGGGGUUUCACCAUGUUAGCCAGGAUGGUCUCGAUCUCCUGACCUUGUGUUCCGCCCAUCUCGGCCUCCCAAAGUGCUGGGAUUACAGGCAUAAGCCACCACACCCAGCCAAUAGAACUCUUUUUACUUAAAAAUCUCAGGAUUUUUGGGAUCUGAGCUCUUGUCAAAAUUCACUCAAAUUUCACCUUUUCCAGGACAUGAUCUGCUUAUUUAGUCUUUUCUCUCCCUUCUAAAAUGUAUACCCCAUAAGGGCAGAGAUUUUUGUUCUCACUGCUCUCCAGCAUCUGGAACACUGCUUGGCAGAUACUUGAUGCCAAAAAAUAUAUAUAUUUUUUAAUUAAUUAGUGAACAACACAAUUACCAAGCACUUAACUACGAACCAACAGUUCUACUUCACAAUUCACAAAUGAUUCAGUUCUUAAUUAUUAUUUCUGUAAUUUAUGAUGUAUGAAUUUUUUAAGUGUUAUUAAAUACUAGUUGAUAAGCUGGAUAUCACAUUAAUCUUGUAGUUUUUCUUCUCACAGUAUGGCAGAGGGUCCUAUUCUCAAAGGUGCUAUUGGCCUGUACUCCCAGCAUAGAUCCUCCCUGCAUCUUUCUAGUGGGCUCUGUGGGGCUUAGUAAUUUUCUCCCGUAGACAGGCUAUAUUGAGACUUGCCUUGUGACUCUCAACAGCUAAACAAAAGUAAAAGAACUUUAGGAAAUCUUGAGUUCAGAUUUUUUAUAAGAUCUUCACUUCUAGUCUGUUCCCAUUUGGUAAUAUUAUGGUUGAACUGAAUUUCUCCAUUGCCCUUGACUCUAAAGUUCUGGACUUUCUGCUCUUGUUUUCCUCCAUUAUGGAAAAAUGACAAAUCAUUCUGAAAAGUCUAUAUGUUUCAGGUCACUGCUUUGUACCCAGAAAAAAAUACAGGAUAGGUAAGAUGAAGGCUCACAGUCUCAAAUCCUCACAAAGGGCAUGGUAAAUUAAUGAAGGAGUCGGCGUAGCAAAUGUAAGAAUUAUAUUUUUUAUUUGUAUUGUACUGUGGUAUAAGCAUGUAACAUAACUAUAUUGGAGAUUUAAUUUUCUGAUGUAAAAUUCAAAUAUCCAAUUAAAAAUAGGUAUUUUGAUUAUAUUUUUCUUCUAUAAAUAUUUUUGCCUUGAACCAGAGAAAUGUGACAGUUUCUCCUGCCCUAUUUGGGAUCAAUAUUUUAUUCAAAUAAAUAAAAAAGUUUUUCACAGAUACAGUUUUUCUAAAA
rnacentral:lncRNA from 10 species